rnacentral:miRNA from 1 species
CGGCUAGCUAGAGACCGCCAA